rnacentral:rRNA from 1 species
UACGAAGGGGGCUAGCGUUGUUCGGAUUUACUGGGCGUAAAGCGCACGUAGGCGGAUUGUUAAGUCGGGGGUGAAAUCCUGGAGCUCAACUUCAGAAUUGCCUUCGAUACUGGCUUUCUAGAGGCUGGAAGAGGUUAGUGGAAUUCCCAGUGUAGAGGUGAAAUUCGUAGAUAUUGGGAAGAACACCAGUGGCGAAGGCGGCUAACUGGUCCAGAAUCUGACGCUGAGGUGCGAAAGCGUGGGAGCAAACAGG